rnacentral:rRNA from 1 species
GGUAGGUAUAAGCGAUUGUACUGUGAGACUGCGAACGGCUCAUUAUAUCAGUAAUAAUUUCUUCGGUAGUUUCUUUUAUAUGGAUACCUGCAGUAAUUCUGGAAAUAAUACAUGCUGUAAGAGCCCUGUAUGGGGCUGCACUUAUUAGAUUGAAGCCGAUUUUAUUGGUGAAUCAUGAUAAUUGAGCAGAUUGACUUUUUAGUCGAUGAAUCGUUUGAGUUUCUGCCCCAUCAGUUGUCGACGGUAGUGUAUUGGACUACGGUGACUAUAACGGGUGACGGAGAGUUAGGGCUCGACUCCGGAGAGGGAGCCUGAGAGACGGCUACCAUAUCCAAGGAUAGCAGCAGGCGCGUAAAUUACCCACUGUGGACUCCACGAGGUAGUGACGUGAAAUAUCGAUGCGAAGCGUGUAUGCGUUUUGCUAUCGGAAUGAGAGCAAUGUAAAACCCUCAUCGAGGAUCAACUGGAGGGCAAGUCUGGUGCCAGCAGCCGCGGUAAUUCCAGCUCCAGAAGCAUAUGCUAAAGUUGUUGCAGUUAAAAAGCUCGUAGUUGAAUUUCUGGCAUGGGCGACCGGUGCUUUCCCUGAAUGGGGAUUGAUUGUCUGUGUUGCCUUGGCCAUCUUUCUCAUGCUAUUUUGGUAUGAGAUCUUUCACUGUAAUCAAAGCAGAGUGUUCCAAGCAGGUCGUAUGACCGGUAUGUUUAUUGUGGGAUGAUAAGAUAGGACUUGGGUGCUAUUUUGUUGGUUUGCACGCCUGAGUAAUGGUUAAUAGGAACAGUUGGGGGUAUUCGUAUUUAGGAGCUAGAGGUGAAAUUCUUGGAUUUCCGAAAGACGAACUAGAGCGAAGGCAUUUACCAAGCAUGUUUUCAUUAAUCAAGAACGAAAGUCUGGGGAUCGAAGAUGAUUAGAUACCAUCGUAGUCUAGACCGUAAACGAUGCCGACUUGCGAUUGUUGGGUGCUUUAUUCUAUGGGCCUCAGCAGCAGCACAUGGGAAAUCAAAGUCUUUGGGUUCCGGGGGGAGUAUGGUCGCAAGGCUGAAACUUAAAGGAAUUGACGGAAGGGCACCACCAGGAGUGGAGCCUGCGGCUUAAUUUGACUCAACACGGGAAAACUUACCAGGUCCAGACAUAGGUAGGAUUGACAGAUUGAGAGCUCUUUCAUGAUUCUAUGGGUGGUGGUGCAUGGCCGUUCUUAGUUGGUGGAGUGGUUUGUCUGGUUAAUUCCGUUAACGAACGAGACCUCGGCCUACUAAAUAGUGCGUGGUAUGGCAACAUAGUGCGUUUUUAACUUCUUAGAGGGACAU